CUGCCAGACUCCUACGGGAGGCAGCAGUGGGGAAUAUUGCACAAUGGGGGAAACCCUGAUGCAGCGACGCCGCGUGGAGGAAGAAGGUCUUCGGAUUGUAAACUCCUGUCCUUGGGGACGAUAAUGACGGUACCCAAGGAGGUAGCACCGGCUAACUACGUGCCAGCAGCCGCGGUAAUACGUAGGGGGCAAGCGUUAUCCGGAUUUACUGGGUGUAAAGGGGGCGCAGACGGCAGCGCAAGCCAGGAGUGAAAGCCCGGGGCCCAACCCCGGGACUGCUCUUGGAACUGCGCGGCUGGAGUGCAGGAGGGGCAGGCGGAAUUCCUGGUGUAGCGGUGAAAUGCGUAGAUAUCAGGAGGAACACCGGUGGCGAAGGCGGCCUGCUGGACUGCGACUGACGUUGAGGCUCGAAAGCGUGGGGAGCGAACAGGAUUAGAUACCCCAGUA
rnacentral:rRNA from 1 species